AAAACAACUUUUAUGCAUACUCCGCAUACUGUAGCUCAAGUGAUACCAGCUCUCCACAUCACAUUAUAAAUACUUCUUAUUUUUCAACUUGUUGGAAAACGAAUCUCAUCUUCUCAAUUUCAAACUAUCAGGAGUUCUUGCAAUGAAUGAUUAACGCCUUGAUUCAAGUGAAUAUGAUGAUUAUGUUGAAAAAGUGGAAGAAAUAUUCCAGUUAAAAUAUUCCAUUGAAAAUACAAAUAACAAAAUUCUUCUUAUUUAAGAUGCUUGUGUUAUUGAAGUAUUCAUAACACUGAAAAUUCAGAAAACUUAAAGGUAAUGUCAAAAGAGAGAAUUGCACUGUUAGUAUCAAAAAGAACAGAAAAUGUAUAUUUACAUUAAAAAGUACUAGAAAUAAUAAUAUAUUUCAAGGAGAUAAUCUGGAUUGUUUGUACGUUAAUAGUUGUAUUUACUUUAUAAGAAGAGACGAAUUGCAGAAUGUUCUAAAGUUGAGUUGAAUAAAGGAACUGGCACAAUUGUAAAGGGAAUUGAAUUUGUUUUAUAAUCAUGUCGAGUGCAGCGUCAAGCUUUUCAUAAAUGCUCAUUCAUUGGAAAUCAUAAAAUGUUAUUGUUUGAAAACAUAAUGAAGUAAUGCAACUCAGUUCCUCAAACUGUUUUUGAUAAUAUAAACCUUCCAGAACAUCCAAUUCAGAUGGAGACGAUUGGCAAAUGUAAAAAAUUCAAAGUUUUGUUUCAGAAGUAUUCAGAGUGUCACAAAAAAAUGAAUUCGUGCCGAAUGUUCAAUUCAACAGUACAAAAGUAUAAAGUUGUAGACUAUAUAUACCUUUAUAAACCUUUAUAGACCUAUAUGUUGUACCUAUUCAAUUGACUACGAUUAAAAUAUCGAAAAAUAGGUUUCCAAAAGGAAGUUGUGACGUAACCUAUGUUAUCCU